UGGUUCAGAUGUAAGAAAUCCAAAGGAUUUGAAUAUGGUGCUUUUGUGGAAAUGAUUUUGGAUGAUGCUUUUGUGGAAAUGAGCUGUAUGUGCUUUUAUUCUUGAGGCACAAAAUGCUAGGGUAUGACAUGUUGUUCGCUCUGGGGGCAGGAGAUAUUGGUCUUGGGAGUUAGAACAUUGUUGUUUCGGUUGUAGGUCUUGGGGAACUUCCAGGUUUAGAUUUAUGAUCAGAGAUGAUCAUGAGGAUCGUGUUACUCGGACAUUUGGAAUAGAAUUAUGCUUCUGACCAAUACUCUAGAUGUCCUCCUUUUCGCAGUUAAGGAGAGUGAUGGAGGAAGUUGUGUUUAAGGGCAUGUCCUGCUUGUGGAUUACAGUUUAUGGUCAUUAAUGAUGAAUAGGAUCUCACUGGUUUAUCUAAUGCAAGAUUCUUACCAUUCCAUCUGUAUCUCACUAGAAACAUGUUAUGAUUCUGUUUAGGGAGAUUUCAGGAUUUAAUACACAAGGCCAUUCCACAGAUUUAUGUAUUGGAGCUGAUUCUCUCUCCCUGAAGAUUGAUUGGAGUACUAUGGUAUUAUAAUCGUUUGAGUACAAUCCCUCCCUCCCGUUUGAGAGGUCCUUUUUUUUUUUUUGGAUGAAAAGGCAUAAUCUCCCUUCCUCCCGCUUGGGUGGUCUUUUUUUGGAUGAAAAGGCAUAAUCUCCCUCCCUCCUGUUUGGGUGGACUUUUUUUGGAUGAAAAAGGCAUCAUCUCAUUUGCUUGUGUGCUGUGAAGUUCUUUGCAGCACAUUUGGCUGUUGUUAAUGAUUCCAUUUGGUCACUUAUCACAACCUCAUUCCCAUCAAGCUGUUGUGUUUUUCCCUCUUUUGCAGUUAUCUUAAAAAGAAUGCUGUUCUUUCGUUGCUUUUCUGGCUAUGUUAUGAUGUUGUUAUGGAUUGAGAUUGUGCAAGGAGAUAAAAAUACCAGCACUAUAUAACCUUUGCUGUCUCCUGAAAGACGACAGUGAGAGUUCUCCUUGGAAUCCAUUUCUACAAAUGAUUCAUAGGUCGAGACCAUUUCCGUUCCAUUCUCUUGAUACGGUGGUGGUGGGUGGGGGCUGAUUCAGUAAUCCAAGGAGAAAGUCCCUGCAUGGAUGUGCAUGAGGAAAGAAAAAGAAGAAGAAAAAGAAAAGGUAAUAUGGCAUGUGCAGCAUGGAGGAAGAGAGCAGCAGUUAGUUGGGCCUCAUGGUUACUGAAGAUUGUUACCAUCUUCAUGAGAGAAGCAAAUUAUGUUACUGCACUGCAACAACAGAAGCUUGCAAGGAAAUGGCAUGGUUACAGGGUCUCAUAGAGGGGUCAGGUAAUAAGUAAGAAAAUUGUAAGUCAUACAGUGACAGUGAAAGCACAAUUUUGUAGCAGAAAGAGCACGGUAGGCUAUGUGUUCACUUUGCGUGGUGCAGCAGUUAGUUGAGCCUCACCAUUACAGAAGAUUGUUACCAUCUCCAUGAGAGAAGCAAAUUAUGUUACUGCACUGCAAUAGAAGCUUGCAAGGAAAUGGCGUGGUUACAAGGUCUCAUAGAUGGGUUGGGUAAGAAGUGAGAAAAUUGUAAGUUAUACAGUGACGGUGAAAGCACAAUUCACCUAAAAGAAUUCAGCCUUCCAUUUCAAGAAGUAAGCAUAUAAAUAGCAAAUAUAAUUUCA